rnacentral:rRNA from 1 species
GACGAACGCUGUCGGCGUGCUUAACACAUGCAAGUCGAACGGAAAGGCCCUGCUUUUGUGGGGUGCUCGAGUGGCGAACGGGUGAGUAACACGUGAGUAACCUGCCCUUGACUUUGGGAUAACUUCAGGAAACUGGGGCUAAUACCGGAUAGGAGCUCCUGCUGCAUGGUGGGGGUUGGAAAGUUUCGGCGGUUGGGGAUGGACUCGCGGCUUAUCAGCUUGUUGGUGGGGUAGUGGCUUACCAAGGCUUUGACGGGUAGCCGGCCUGAGAGAGUGACCGGCCACAUUGGGACUGAGAUACGGCCCAGACUCCUACGGGAGGCAGCAGUGGGGAAUAUUGCACAAUGGGCGGAAGCCUGAUGCAGCAACGCCGCGUGCGGGAUGACGGCCUUCGGGUUGUAAACCGCUUUCGCCUGUGACGAAGCGUGAGUGACGGUAAUGGGUAAAGAAGCACCGGCUAACUACGUGCCAGCAGCCGCGGUGAUACGUAGGGUGCGAGCGUUGUCCGGAUUUAUUGGGCGUAAAGGGCUCGUAGGUGGUUGAUCGCGUCGGAAGUGUAAUCUUGGGGCUUAACCCUGAGCGUGCUUUCGAUACGGGUUGACUUGAGGAAGGUAGGGGAGAAUGGAAUUCCUGGUGGAGCGGUGGAAUGCGCAGAUAUCAGGAGGAACACCAGUGGCGAAGGCGGUUCUCUGGGCCUUUCCUGACGCUGAGGAGCGAAAGCGUGGGGAGCGAACAGGCUUAGAUACCCUGGUAGUCCACGCUGUAAACGGUGGGUACUAGGUGUGGGGUCCAUUCCACGGGUUCCGUGCCGUAGCUAACGCUUUAAGUACCCCGCCUGGGGAGUACGGCCGCAAGGCUAAAACUCAAAGGAAUUGACGGGGCCCCGCACAAGCGGCGGAGCAUGCGGAUUAAUUCGAUGCAACGCGUAGAACCUUACCUGGGUUUGACAUGGAUCGGGAGUGCUCAGAGAUGGGUGUGCCUCUUUUGGGGUCGGUUCACAGGUGGUGCAUGCCUGUCGUCAGCUCGUGUCGUGAGAUGUUGGGUUAAGUCCCGCAACGAGCGCAACCCUUGUUCACUGUUGCCAGCACGUUAUGGUGGGGACUCAGUGGAGACCGCCGGGGUCAACUCGGAGGAAGGUGGGGAUGACGUCAAGUCAUCAUGCCCCUUAUGUCCAGGGCUUCACGCAUGCUACAAUGGCUGGUACAGAGAGUGGCGAGCCUGUGAGGGUGAGCGAAUCUCGGAAAGCCGGUCUCAGUUCGGAUUGGGGUCUGCAACUCGACCUCAUGAAGUCGGAGUCGCUAGUAAUCGCAGAUCAGCAACGCUGCGGUGAAUACGUUCCCGGG